UCUUAAACGAGGUGACGUAUCUGACAAUGUUUUCAUGCUUUGUGUUACAGAGGUUUCUGAGAAUACUCUCCUCGCGGGAAAGAUGUUCCAAUUCUUUCGUAUUUGCCUUGGAAUACAUUGUCCAAAAUAUAUAAGAAGAAAUGAUAACUCGGAACUUAUUAAGAAAGUCCAACAGAAGAACAUUCAUGCCAUCGAUGUCAAGCCAGUCAGAUUAAAUGAUGAAUACGAUCUAUCUCAAAGUGAAGAAUAGUCGGGUUGCGUUACUGAAAACGACAUAUCCAUACGCUCUACAUUUGAUUUUGUUAAAUUCAGCAAUAUUCUCCCCC